GAACGAACGCUGGCGGCAGGCUUACCACAUGCAAGUCGAGCGGGUGUCCUUUGGGGCAUCAGCGGCGGACGGGUUAGUAACGCGUGGGAACGUGCCUUGUGCUUGGGAAUAGCCCUGGGAAACCGGGGGUAAUACCUGAUGUGCCCUGAGGGGGAAAGGUGGCAACACCGGCACGGGAUCGGCCCGCGUCUGAUUAGGUAGUUGGUGGGGUAACGGCCCACCAAGCCGACGAUCGGUAGCUGGUUUGAGAGGAUGAUCAGCAACACUGGGACUGAGACACGGCCCAGACUCCUACGGGAGGCAGCAGUGGGGAAUCUUAGACAAUGGGCGCAAGCCUGAUCUAGCCAUGCCGCGUGGGUGAUGAAGGCCUUAGGGUCGUAAAGCCCUUUCGCCGGGGAAGAUAAUGACGGUACCCGGUAAAGAAACCCCUGCUAACUCCGUG
rnacentral:rRNA from 1 species